AAAAAAACACACUUCAAUCUGUUGCUUCAUUUUGACGUGAAAGAAGGACAAACAAACACACAAUUACACUUUCAGAUUUAUAAUAUUAAGUAUACAGGUUAAAAAAGAAACAAAAAAGGAGGAUGCCUCAUCUUCCAGCUAAUCCAGGGGCUUAUCGUCCAUGGUGAUUUCGGUUUCCGGAAAAUGUAUUAAGAUGUAACCAAUGGAUAAAUAUUGUACGUAGACAAAGACAUGAAGAGGAUUGGCGGCCAAAUAAUAAUGAACUAAAUGAAAAUAAAAAAAUAAAAUUAUUUGUC